GACGAACGCUGGCGGCGUGCUUAACACAUGCAAGUCGAACGGUGAAGCGCCUUCCUUUUUGGUGGGUGUGGAUGAGUGGCGAACGGGUGAGUAACACGUGAGUAACCUGCCCCCUUCUUCUGGAUAACCGCAUGAAAGUGUGGCUAAUACGGGAUAUUCUGGGUCUGUCGCAUGAUGGGUCUGGGAAAGAUAUUGUUUCGGUGGGGGAUGGGCUCGCGGCCUAUCAGCUUGUUGGGGGGGUGAUGGCCUACCAAGGCGGUGACGGGUAGCCGGCCUGGGAGGGUGGACGGUCACACGGGGACUGGGACACGGCCCAGACUCCUACGGGAGGCAGCAGUGGGGAAUAUUGCACAAUGGGCGCAAGCCUGAUGCAGCGACGCCGCGUGAGGGAUGGAGGCCUUCGGGUUGUGAACCUCUUUCGCCAGUGAAGCAGGCCUGCCUCGUUUGUGGGUGGGUUGACGGUAGCUGGAUAAGAAGCGCCGGCUAACUACGUG
rnacentral:rRNA from 1 species